AUUGAACGCUGGCGGCAUGCCUUACACAUGCAAGUCGAACGGCAGCACGGGGGCAACCCUGGUGGCGAGUGGCGAACGGGUGAGUAAUGCAUCGGAACGUGCCCUGAAGUGGGGGAUAACGUAGCGAAAGUUACGCUAAUACCGCAUAUUCUGUGAGCAGGAAAGCAGGGGAUCGCAAGACCUUGCGCUUGAGGAGCGGCCGAUGUCGGAUUAGCUAGUUGGUGGGGUAAAGGCCUACCAAGGCGACGAUCCGUAGCGGGUCUGAGAGGAUGGUCCGCCACACUGGGAGUGAGACACGGCCCAGACUCCUACGGGAGGCAGCAGUGGGGAAUUUUGGACAAUGGGCGCAAGCCUGAUCCAGCCAUGCCGCGGGAGUGAAGAAGGCCUUCGGGUUGUAAAGCUCUUUCGGUGGGGAAGAAAUUGCACUGGCUAAUAUCCGGUGUAGAUGACGGUACCCGCAUAAGAAGCACCGGCUAACUACGUGCCAGCCGCCGCGGUAACAC
rnacentral:rRNA from 1 species